CAGUGGUAAAGUGAAUGUUCAUUGCAAAUAUUCAACGUCACAUUUUUAACGUAUUUAUACAAGAGUGCAAAGGUUUUAUUAUGUGAAAAAGUGAAAAACAUAUGGGAAUAGUAGAAGAUAUUUAAAUAAACUGCUUACAAGGUUUAGAAGAGCGGGACAGUGAACAAUGCGCAUUUUCCCGCGCAUUUAUUCGGUCAGUUUAUACAACAAUAUGGCGGAACUUCAAAACGCGAAGAGAAAGAAGAGGUGGAGUAGAAGAGGGAGCGAUAAUCAAUUAUCAAAGGCCGAGGAAAGAAAAAUGGAAU